UACAGAGGUCCCAAGCGUUGUUCGGAUUCACUGGGCGUAAAGGGUGCGUAGGCGGUCGGGUAAGUCUGAUGUGAAAUCUCACAGCUUAACUGUGAAACUGCAUUGGAUACUAUCCGGCUCGAGGAAUGGAGGGGAGACUGGAAUACUUGGUGUAGCAGUGAAAUGCGUUGAUAUCAGAAGGAACGCCGGUGGCGAAAGCGCUCGACUGGAUCUCUGCUGACGCUGAGGCGCGAAAGCCAGGGGAGCAAACGGG
rnacentral:rRNA from 1 species